CUUUUUUGGAGUCAUUUGCAGGUCAAAUGACUCACUAUAAUAUUAUAUAAUAUAUGUAGGUUAUUUUGCAAGCAUUGUAGAAGGUUGUAAUGAACCUGUUUUUUGGGAGGUUGAAUCACCUAUGUUGAACAUGAUUUUUUUGGUGGGGCAGCAGCAAGGACUCUUAAGGAUGUGCACUAAAUUAAUCACAACAUGUUGCUUUUUGAAAGACUUGUUGGGACACUUGGAUAGAGGAUGAAUCUGAUUGCUGAUGAGAUGAUAAAGAAGCUUAUGAAGGACAUGGAAAACAUUUCUUCAUUCCUUGUUGGGAUUUGGUUGGGUUCUUGUGUGUGCUGAUCAUAGACAUGCUGAAGAGGGAAUCCUACAUGAUUUUAUUUUCAGUUUUCAUUCUUUAUGGAUAUUUCAAGUCUAAAGUCUUGUAAUAUGAUUUAAAAUCUAAACUUUCGUAGUAGACACAAUGUUGUUAAUGCCUUAAUGC